CCAUACUACAUUAACACUCGUCUAGUGCAAGUUCCUGGAUUUGUGGGUCUGUUUCUUGCGGGCGUUGUCUGUGCUGCAACAAGUACGACAUCAUCCACAAUUAACUCGCAAGCAGCCAUUCUAUACGUUGAUGUCAUUGCUCCUCGGUGGAAGGGUACCGCACGUCACGUAUUGUGGAUUACACGUUGCACAGCACUGGCCUUAGGUAUAACCAUGACAGCGUACAGUACGCUGUUUGUAUAUAUGGGAUCCCUGAAUAGAGUG
rnacentral:lncRNA from 1 species